GACGAACGCUGGCGGCGUGCUUAACACAUGCAAGUCGAACGGAAAGGCCCUGCUUUUGUGGGGUGCUCGGGUGGCGAACGGGUGAGUAACACGUGAGUAACCUGCCCUUGACUUUGGGAUAACUUCAGGAAACUGGGGCUAAUACCGGAUAGGAGCUCCUGCUGCAUGGUGGGGGUUGGAAAGUUUCGGCGGUUGGGGAUGGACUCGCGGCUUAUCAGCUUGUUGGUGGGGUAGUGGCUUACCAAGGCUUUGACGGGUAGCCGGCCUGAGAGGGUGACCGGCCACAUUGGGACUGCGAUACGGCCCAGACUCCUACGGGAGGCAGCAGUGGGGAAUAUUGCACAAUGGGCGGAAGCCUGAUGCAGCAACGCCGCGUGCGGGAUGCCGGCCUUCGGGUUGUAAACCGCUUUCGCCUGUGCCGAAGAGUGAGUGACGGUAAUGGGUAAAGAAGCACCGGCUAACUACGUG
rnacentral:rRNA from 1 species